rnacentral:rRNA from 1 species
GGUAAGGUAACGGCUUACCAAGACCAUGAUGUGUAGCUGGACUGAGAGGUUGAACGGCCACAUUGGGACUGAGAUACGGCCCAAACUCCUACGGGAGGCAGCAGUAAGGAAUUUUCGGCAAUGGAGGAAACUCUGACCGAGCAACGCCGCGUGAACGAUGAAGUAUUUAGGUAUGUAAAGUUCUUUUAUUAAAGAAGAAAAAAUGAUGGAAAAAUCAUUCUGACGGUAUUUAAUGAAUAAGCCCCGGCUAACUAUGUGCCAGCAGCUGCGGUAAUACAUGGGGGGCAAGCGUUAUCCGGAUUUAUUGGGCGUAAAGGGUGCGUAGGCGGUUUAAUAAGUCUAUGGUCUAAGUUCAACGCUUAACGUUGUGAUGCUAUAGAAACUGUUUGACUAGAGUUGGAUAGAGGCAAGUGGAAUUCCAUGUGUAGCGGUAAAAUGCGUAAAGAUAUGGAGGAACACCAGUAGCGAAGGCGGCUUGCUGGGUCUUAACUGACGCUGAGGCACGAAAGCGUGGGGAGCAAACAGGAUUAGAUACCCUGGUAGUCCACGCCGUAAACGAUGAGUACUAAGUGUUGGGUUAAACCAGUGCUGAAGUUAACGCAUUAAGUACUCCGCCUGAGUAGUACGUACGCAAGUAUGAAACUUAAAGGAAUUGACGGGACUCCGCACAAGCGGUGGAUCAUGUUGUUUAAUUCGAAGAUACACGAAAAACCUUACCAGGUCUUGACAUACUCUGCAAAGCUAUAGAAAUAUAGUGGAGGUUAUCAGGGAUACAGGUGGUGCAUGGUUGUCGUCAGCUCGUGUCGUGAGAUGUUGGGUUAAGUCCCGCAACGAGCGCAACCCUUAUCGCUAGUUACCAUCAUUUAGUUGGGCACUUUAGUGAGACUGCCAAUGAUAAAUUGGAGGAAGGUGGGGAUUACGUCAAAUCAUCAUGCCCCUUAUGACCUGGGCUACAAACGUGAUACAAUGGCUGUUACAAAGAGUAGCUGAAGCGUGAGUUUUUAGCAAAUCUCAAAAAAACAGUCUCAGUUCGGAUUGAAGUCUGCAACUCGACUUCAUGAAGUCGGAAUCGCUAGUAAUCGCGAAUCAGCAUGUCGUGGUGAAUACGUUCUCGGGGUUUGUACACACCGCCCGUCAAACCAUGAAAGUUGACAAUACCCGAAACCAGUAGCCUAACUUGCAAAAGAGGGAACUGUCUAAGGUAGGGUUGAUGAUUGGGGUUAAGUCGUAACAAGGUAUCCCUACCGGAAGGUGGGGAUGGAUCACCUCCUUUCUAAGGAAAAUAUCAUCUUCAGUUGUGAAAGACUUAAAAA